rnacentral:rRNA from 1 species
GACGAACGCUGGCGGCGUGCUUAACACAUGCAAGUCGAACGGGCCUUGUCCCCUUUUUUUUGGGGGCGGGGUUAGUGGCGAACGGGUGAGUAACACGUGAGUAACCUGCCCCUCACUUCUGGAUAACCGCUUGAAAGGGUGGCUAAUACGGGGUGUUCUGGCCUGCUCGCAUGGGUGGGUUUGGAAAGAUUCGACCGGUUUUGGUUGUUUUGGUGGGGGAUGGGCUCGCGGCCUAUCAGCUUGUUGGUGGGGUGAUGGCCUGCCAAGGCUUUGACGGGUAGCCGGCCUGAGAGGGUGGGCGGUCACACUGGGACUGAGACACGGCCCAGACUCCUACGGGAGGCAGCAGUGGGGAAUAUUGCACAAUGGGCGCAAGCCUGAUGCAGCGACGCCGCGUGAGGGAUGGAGGCCUUCGGGUUGUGAACCUCUUUCGCCAGUGAAGAAGGUCCUGCUCUUUGUGGUGGGGUUGACGGUAGCUGGGUUAAUGAAGCGCCGGCUAACUACGUG